CAGUAGCCGCGGGAAUACGAAGGGUGCAAGCGUUACUCGGAAUUACUGGGCGUAAAGCGUGCGUAGGUGGUGGUUUAAGUCCGUUGUGAAAGCCCUGGGCUCAACCUGGGAAUUGCAGUGGAUACUGGGUCACUAGAGUGUGGUAGAGGAUAGUGGAAUUUCCGGUGUAGCAGUGAAAUUCGUAGAGAUCGGAAGGAACAUCUGUGGCGAAGGCGACUAUCUGGGCCAACACUGACACUGAGGCACGAAAGCGUGGGGAGCAAACAGGAUUAGAUACCCCAGUAGUCCCUGUCUCUUAUAC
rnacentral:rRNA from 1 species